rnacentral:rRNA from 1 species
UGAAUCCAUAGGUUAAUGAGGCGAACCGGGGGAACUGAAACAUCUAAGUACCCCGAGGAAAAGAAAUCAACCGAGAUUCCCCCAGUAGCGGCGAGCGAACGGGGAGGAGCCCAGAGCCUGAAUCAGUGUGUGUGUUAGUGGAAGCGUCUGGAAAGGCGCGCGAUACAGGGUGACAGCCCCGUACACAAAAAUGCACAUAUUGUGAGCUCGAUGAGUAGGGCGGGACACGUGGUAUCCUGUCUGAAUAUGGGGGGACCAUCCUCCAAGGCUAAAUACUCCUGACUGACCGAUAGUGAACCAGUACCGUGAGGGAAAGGCGAAAAGAACCCCGGCGAGGGGAGUGAAAAAGAACCUGAAACCGUGUACGUACAAGCAGUGGGAGCCUCUUUAUGGGGUGACUGCGUACCUUUUGUAUAAUGGGUCAGCGACUUAUAUUCUGUAGCAAGGUUAACCGAAUAGGGGAGCCGAAGGGAAACCGAGUCUUAACUGGGCGUUAAGUUGCAGGGUAUAGACCCGAAACCCGGUGAUCUAGCCAUGGGCAGGUUGAAGGUUGGGUAACACUAACUGGAGGACCGAACCGACUAAUGUUGAAAAAUUAGCGGAUGACUUGUGGCUGGGGGUGAAAGGCCAAUCAAACCGGGAGAUAGCUGGUUCUCCCCGAAAGCUAUUUAGGUAGCGCCUCGUGAAUUCAUCUCCGGGGGUAGAGCACUGUUUCGGCAAGGGGGUCAUCCCGACUUACCAACCCGAUGCAAACUGCGAAUACCGGAGAAUGUUAUCACGGGAGACACACGGCGGGUGCUAACGUCCGUCGUGAAGAGGGAAACAACCCAGACCGCCAGCUAAGGUCCCAAAGUCAUGGUUAAGUGGGAAACGAUGUGGGAAGGCCCAGACAGCCAGGAUGUUGGCUUAGAAGCAGCCAUCAUUUAAAGAAAGCGUAAUAGCUCACUGGUCGAGUCGGCCUGCGCGGAAGAUGUAACGGGGCUAAACCAUGCACCGAAGCUGCGGCAGCGACACUAUGUGUUGUUGGGUAGGGGAGCGUUCUGUAAGCCUGUGAAGGUGGCCUGUGAGGGUUGCUGGAGGUAUCAGAAGUGCGAAUGCUGACAUAAGUAACGAUAAAGCGGGUGAAAAGCCCGCUCGCCGGAAGACCAAGGGUUCCUGUCCAACGUUAAUCGGGGCAGGGUGAGUCGACCCCUAAGGCGAGGCCGAAAGGCGUAGUCGAUGGGAAACAGGUUAAUAUUCCUGUACUUGGUGUUACUGCGAAGGGGGGACGGAGAAGGCUAUGUUGGCCGGGCGACGGUUGUCCCGGUUUAAGCGUGUAGGCUGGUUUUCCAGGCAAAUCCGGAAAACCAAGGCUGAGGCGUGAUGACGAGGCACUACGGUGCUGAAGCGACAAAUGCCCUGCUUCCAGGAAAAGCCUCUAAGCAUCAGGUAACAUCAAAUCGUACCCCAAACCGACACAGGUGGUCAGGUAGAGAAUACCAAGGCGCUUGAGAGAACUCGGGUGAAGGAACUAGGCAAAAUGGUGCCGUAACUUCGGGAGAAGGCACGCUGAUAUGUAGGUGAAGCGACUUGCUCGUGGAGCUGAAAUCAGUCGAAGAUACCAGCUGGCUGCAACUGUUUAUUAAAAACACAGCACUGUGCAAACACGAAAGUGGACGUAUACGGUGUGACGCCUGCCCGGUGCCGGAAGGUUAAUUGAUGGGGUUAGCGGUAACGCGAAGCUCUUGAUCGAAGCCCCGGUAAACGGCGGCCGUAACUAUAACGGUCCUAAGGUAGCGAAAUUCCUUGUCGGGUAAGUUCCGACCUGCACGAAUGGCGUAAUGAUGGCCAGGCUGUCUCCACCCGAGACUCAGUGAAAUUGAACUCGCUGUGAAGAUGCAGUGUACCCGCGGCAAGACGGAAAGACCCCGUGAACCUUUACUAUAGCUUGACACUGAACAUUGAGCCUUGAUGUGUAGGAUAGGUGGGAGGCUUUGAAGUGUGGACGCCAGUCUGCAUGGAGCCGACCUUGAAAUACCACCCUUUAAUGUUUGAUGUUCUAACGUUGGCCCGUAAUCCGGGUUGCGGACAGUGUCUGGUGGGUAGUUUGACUGGGGCGGUCUCCUCCUAAAGAGUAACGGAGGAGCACGAAGGUUGGCUAAUCCUGGUCGGACAUCAGGAGGUUAGUGCAAUGGCAUAAGCCAGCUUGACUGCGAGCGUGACGGCGCGAGCAGGUGCGAAAGCAGGUCAUAGUGAUCCGGUGGUUCUGAAUGGAAGGGCCAUCGCUCAACGGAUAAAAGGUACUCCGGGGAUAACAGGCUGAUACCGCCCAAGAGUUCAUAUCGACGGCGGUGUUUGGCACCUCGAUGUCGGCUCAUCACAUCCUGGGGCUGAAGUAGGUCCCAAGGGUAUGGCUGUUCGCCAUUUAAAGUGGUACGCGAGCUGGGUUUAGAACGUCGUGAGACAGUUCGGUCCCUAUCUGCCGUGGGCGCUGGAGAACUGAGGGGGGCUGCUCCUAGUACGAGAGGACCGGAGUGGACGCAUCACUGGUGUUCGGGUUGUCAUGCCAAUGGCACUGCCCGGUAGCUAAAUGCGGAAGAGAUAAGUGCUGAAAGCAUCUAAGCACGAAACUUGC